rnacentral:rRNA from 1 species
AGAGUUUGAUCAUGGCUCAGAACGUACGCUGGCGGCACGCCUAACACAUGCAAGUCGAACGAAGUAGCAAUACUUAGUGGCAGACGGGUGAGUAACAUGUAGGUAUCUUCCCUUUGGCCUGGAAUAACACGAGGAAACUUGUGCUAAUACUGGAUAAGUCUUUACGGAGAAAGCUUUAUGCACCAUUGGAUGAGCCUGCACUUGAUUAGUUUGUUGGUGGGGUAAUGGCCUACCAAGACGUUGAUCAAUAGCUGAUUUGAGAGGAUGAUCAGCCACAUUGGGACUGAGACACGGCCCAAACUCCUACGGGAGGCAGCAGUGGGGAAUCUUGCACAAUGGAGGAAACUCUGAUGCAGCGAUGCCGCGUGAGUGAAGAAGGCCCUUGGGUUGUAAAGCUCUUUCGUCGGGGAAGAAAAUGACUGUACCCGAAUAAGAAGGUCCGGCUAACUUCGUGCCAGCAGCCGCGGUAAUAC